rnacentral:lncRNA from 1 species
CAUCGCUCCAACGCUCAGCGCCCAUAAUUUGCUCAACUUCCCAGCUCCAUCGCAGCUAAAGUUGAGGUUUCAACUGAAGACUCCAAACAACUUCAAAGGCCAGGAAAACAUCCAGAGUACCAAGGACAACAACCACCUGUAAAAGAAAAAUAAAGUAUAUCAAACAGG